rnacentral:rRNA from 1 species
AAGUCCAGAUAAACUCCGAAUGCGCGAUAUAUAUUUAAAGGGAGUGAGGGCGCGGGUGCUAAGGUCCGUGUCCGAGAGGAGAAGAAUCCAGACCACCGGCUAAGGCCCCCAAAUGAUCGUUGAGUUGAACUAACGAGGUCGGAUCGCAGAGACAGCUAGGAUGUUGGCUUGGAAGCAGCCAUUCAUUUAAAGAGUGCGUAACAGCUCACUAGUCGAGCGAUCUGGCGUGGAUAAUAAUCGGGCAUAAACGAUCUGCCGAAGCCGUGGAUGUCGUAAGACAUGGUAGGGGAGCAUUCCAUGCGGCGUCGAAGAUGAGGGAUGACCCUUGUUGGAGCGCAUGGAAAAGCAAAUGUAGGUAUGAGUAACGAUAAGGGGGGCGAGAAACCCCCCCGCCGAAAGACCAAGGUUUCCUGAUCAACGCUAAUCGGAUCAGGGUGAGUCGGGACCUAAGGCAAAGCCGAACGGCGACGCCGAUGGAAGAAUGGGUUAAUAUUCCCAUACUGCCUCAUGGAGUGACGUGGAGACGGAGAAGUGACAGUCCUGCCGGCUGACGGAAUAGCCGGUUGAAGGGUGUAGAUAUUGAUUCCCGUAGGCAAAUCCGCGGGGAGAGUC